GCGACCNUAGGUCAGGCGGGG
rnacentral:rRNA from 1 species